rnacentral:rRNA from 1 species
UUGAACGCUGGCGGCGGGCCUAAUACAUGCAAGUCGAGCGGUCCCUUCGGGGGCAGCGGCGGACGGGUGAGUAACGCGUGGGAACGUGCCCUUUGGUACGGAACAACUGAGGGAAACUUCAGCUAAUACCGUAUGUGCCCUUCGGGGGAAAGAUUUAUCACCAUUGGAGCGGCCCGCGUUAGAUUAGCUAGUUGGUAGGGUAAUGGCCUACCAAGGCGACGAUCUAUAGCUGGUCUGAGAGGAUGAUCAGCCACACUGGGACUGAGACACGGCCCAGACUCCUACGGGAGGCAGCAGUAGGGAAUCUUGCGCAAUGGGCGAAAGCCUGACGCAGCCAUGCCGCGUGAAUGAUGAAGGUCUUAGGAUUGUAAAAUUCUUUCACCGGGGACGAUAAUGACGGUACCCGGAGAAGAAGCCCCGGCUAACUUCGUGCCAGCCGCCGCCGUAACAC